GAAAAACUGAGUGACACAGCAACCACCUCCCUCAUCCUUAUUUCUACCAGUGUUAGCUUAGAAGACGAGAAGGAGUGACGUGCGGCCAGGGUCUCUUCUGGGAACUGGAUUCAAGAUUUUUGCACGUGUGAGGUUGAGUUUAUGGAGGCCAGUUAUAAGGGAGCGGUCUGGUUGCACUAACAAGCCGUCGAUAAUGACGCGGGUGGACAGCCUCCUGAGUGUUGCGUCCCCACGCCGACUAUCAGGCCUGGCACUUCCCGGCAAGCAAAGCCCACCUACCUGUGUCGUGACGUCCGAAGAUAGCGAUCCCGCCAUUCCAUCCUUUGCCCAUCUCCAGCAAGAUGAUGAUCACGUGACAUGACGGUGGUGGUGAUUACAAGUCACUACCAGACAGCAGUCCAUCGUUAGAGCCUACUAGUUCGUUCACGUGGAUACAUCGUUGUCGUGAGACACCACUUACGUUGUUACCAGCACAAUUCGCCACUUCUCAUCAGUCACAGUGGCGCUGCAGUAGAGAGGCUGUCGUACGUGCUUCCUGAAUACAGCAGCUCUGAUGCUUUUCCACGUAUCAUGAUGAUGAUGACAUGCACUCAGCAGCGAAAUCGAUAAGUGUGUGUUAUCUCGUGAUAGCUGGCGUGGGAAACGUCUAGAAAGGUCUCAGUUAAAGGAACUCCGCAUCAUCCUGGGUGGACUAGAAACUGUGGAUUGCAAGUGUACCCUCCCAUGGUUUUUAUAUCGCUGAAUGGUAAGGAGCUGAAGGCCAAAAGACAGUUAAUGCAGUAGCAAGUUUAAGGAUGUGCCGAGCAUGUGUUGUGUAAACCUUCGUUAACAAUGAACUGCUAUAUAUAUAUAUACCCGUACAAUGAUGAUGCCUACCAAUGAGACACCCAGAAAUCAAA